AGAAUUCGCCUCCAAAAUGUAGUCCUCGACAAGUCACAAAUGUUCGAAAUAACAAAAAUGUAUAUUCAAACAAAACAUAAAAUUUACCAAAGAUAUAUAACAAAAUUAAAAGGUUCACAAUGGUCAAGAUUACGUAUAGAUAGAUAGCGCACGGGCUAUUAUCUCUCUUUCACAAUACAAUUUCUCUCUCACUCACUGUCACAGUCCAACUACGAUUGUUCAACUAACUCUCUGCUCUCUUUCGUGACUAUUUCACUCACACCCUCACUUUGACACCUAAUCAUUCCUACGUCAUGCACUAAUAAUCAAUUAAAUUAAUAAUCUUAUCUGUCAGUUCCCGACACACUCCCCCAUAUAGCUCAGAAUUGAGGUAUAUGUCCUUGAAGGGACUGACUUCGUUGCUGUAGUUCAUCAUUUACUACCUAACAAAUAGAAUAUAUAAAGUUAAUAUGGAAUAAAGUUAUAAUAAAUGUCUCGCAUCAGUAUUCUUCCGCAU